UACUUAUAAAUAUAAAAUUUUGGAACAGUAUAAAUAAUGAAAUUUAACGGAUUUGGCGGCAAGAUAGCCAUUUAGAGGAACCUGCCCUAUAAACGAUGAACCACGAAAAACUCUACUUUUAUUUGUAAUCAGUUUGUAUACCGCUGUUGUCAGUCAGUUUCUUCAGAAAACUUUCUUUUAUGAGAAAAUCAUUUACUUCAAGUAAAGGUGCAGCUUAUAUAAAAGAUAGAGGUGGGUUACAAUUUUUAGAUUAAUACGAAUAAAGUUUUUGAAAUAACUUUUGAAGGUGGAUUUAAUUGUAAAGUUUAUAAAAACUUGAUGAGAGCUCUAUCUUGUGUACAC
rnacentral:rRNA from 1 species